UACAGAGGUCCCGAGCGUUGUUCGGAUUCACUGGGCGUAAAGGGUGCGUAGGUGGCGCCGUAAGUCGGAUGUGAAAUUUCGGAGCUUAACUCCGAAACUGCAUUCGAUACUGCGGUGCUUGAGGACUGGAGAGGAGACUGGAAUUCAUGGUGUAGCAGUGAAAUGCGUAGAGAUCAUGAGGAAGACCAGUGGCGAAGGCGGGUCUCUGGACAGUUCCUGACACUGAGGCACGAAGGCCAGGGGAGCAAACGGG
rnacentral:rRNA from 1 species